UACGUAGGGUGCGAGCGUUAAUCGGAAUUACUGGGCGUAAAGCGUGCGCAGGCGGUUUUGUAAGCCAGAUGUGAAAUCCCCGGGCUUAACCUGGGAAUGGCAUUUGGGACUGCAAGGCUUGAGUGCGGCAGAGGAGACUGGGAUUCCUGGUGUAGCAGUGAAAUGCGUAGAUAUCAGGAGGAACACCGAUGGCGAAGGCAGGUCUCUGGGCUGACACUGACGCUCAUGCACGUAAGCGUGGGGAGCAAACAGG
rnacentral:rRNA from 1 species